rnacentral:rRNA from 1 species
GAAUUUAAUAAUAUUAAGUAAAAAAAAAUAUUAAAUAUUAUUUAGUUGGGAGGAUUAAUAAAUUAAUAAAACUUUAUUGAAAAAUAAAAUCAUUAAUUUAUGAAAUUAAUAGAAGUAAUAUAAAUAUAUAAAUUAAAAUUAAUUACCUUAGGGAUAACAGCAUAAAAUUAUUUUUUAGAUCAUAUAAAAAAUAAUAAUUGU